UACGGAGGGUGCAAGCGUUAAUCGGAAUUACUGGGCGUAAAGCGCACGCAGGUGGCUGAGUCAGUCGAUUGUGAAAGCCCUGGGCUUAACCUGGGAAUUGCAGUCGAUACUACUUAGCUAGAGUAUGGGAGAGGGCAGUGGAAUUCCCGGUGUAGUGGUGAAAUGCGUAGAUAUCGGGAGGAACACCAGUGGCGAAGGCGACUUCCUGGCCUGUUCUUGACGCUGAGGCGCGAAAGCUAGGGGAGCAAACGGG
rnacentral:rRNA from 1 species